UUAUUCUAAACAAAAGAAACAAAAUGCAAAAACCGUCCGUUCCACUUUUCUUCUUCAAAGUUCAAACUCAAAAACGAUUUUCCUGUGAACGUCCUGUCCCCCAUCCUCGUUUCCUCUCCCUGAACGCCUCCAGCCGCUGCUACCCUUAACGUUUGAACACUGUCGCUCCCUUAAUGUUCCCGUCCCCAUCUCCUCUUCCUGAAUGCCGCUGCCACCCUUCAAACGCCGCUCCUACCCUUCGAAUACAAUCGAAUACCGCUGCUACAAUCGAAUGCCGCUGCUACAAUCGAAUGCCGUAGCUCCCUGAAACUCUUCGUAAAUCUCGGUUUUCGAAUACGUUUAUGUUUUCACCACUUCUUUAUCUUUUUAUUAUAAUUGUGAUUGAAAUUGUGGUUAUGGUGUUGAGAUUGAGAUUGAGAAUUUCAAAUACCGCCGCCCCUCCAUUUAUCUGCAAUUCUCUGCCUUCUGAUUAUGAUGUUGUUGAGAAUGGCAGAAGUGAAAUGGUAAUUGAUGGUAACGAACAGAAGGCGAAGAAGAUUGUGUCUGAUGGGUUCGAUGCGAAUCUUUCUGAAAUGGAAAUUUCGGUCAAGGAAAAAUGUCCAUUUAAAAUUGAUAUUGGGCCUGUAUAGAGUGUGGAUCCUGCAAAGAGACAUGCAUAUGCUGGCAAUAACGUAUUUACUCCAGUGGAAAGGGAGUUGGUUUUUGAUAUUGAUAUGACUGGUAGCCGUGGUGUUCAUUGUUGGGCCUGUGAUGGAAAAGCUAAAAGGUUGUCUAAUGAACAGCGAGCUGCCAUUGCUGAAUAUUUCCAUUUAUAUCAGGGUAAUGAAAAUAGUAGCAAGAAAAUUUCUCUAACGGGUCCAGUUCUUCAUCCAUUUCUCGCGUAGUUCUUCAUCCAUUUCUCGGGAGAUCGUACACCAAAGUUCUCAAGGAUAGCUUUGAAUCACAAUUGCUUUGUAGUCAAAAAGAUUUUUUCAACUGAGGAGAGAUAUGAGAAAAUAUUAGAUAUGAUUCCUGAUGAAUCGGCCAUUACCUCAGACCUACGGGGAAGGUGGCAAGAUAAUAGGCGAUCCUCUAAAAAUGAUGUUAACUCAUUAAGAUGGGAGCAACUGAAAAAUCUAUUGCAAUCAGGGAAACAUAAGGCUCAAGGAAUGCGUAGGCAUGUUGAAGAGAUUGUUUUCUCUUUUACCUACCCUAGGCUUGAUUUGGAGUUCGAUAUCAUUUGUAUUCCAAUGGAAUUGAUCGAAGUUACAAGGUAAGGUUCUGACAUGGUGAAUAUUUAAACUCAGAGAAUGUUACUAGUAGAAUGAAAAAUACAGUGGAUGAAAAAGAUGAACUGAACUGAAUGUAAACCUUAUAUUCUUAUCUUGAUGUGUAGAGUCGUACUCUAAAAUUUCAUUUUGUUUUCUUACUAGGUUUUGCAAGAAUCCAUUUGAGCAGUGAAGUCAUAUUUGCGGCAAUUGAUUGAUAUAUAGGUCUUUUUUAGGUUUGGUAGAAAAUUUUGGUUCAAAUGUACUUAUUUAAGUAUCUUGGUACCAAAGCAUGUAUGUUCAUUCUAUCAUACUACAAACCUUUACCAAUAAUUGUGUACACAUACUACAAAGUAUAUAUAUUAAAUCGUUCAUGGUUUCUUUCCA